UUGUUGUUUUCAUUGUCUGUUUCAUUAUUUAGGUGGACUUCUGAUCCACUUGCUUCUCAAUAGCUACUUAAGGUUUUAUUAUAUUUGCCACGUAAUAGUGAAUUUACACGUUUUUUAAAAUCUGUUGUACUCUAGCUUAUGCAAUCUCUAGUCAGGAAGUAGUGAGUCGUUUUGUUUGCUUUGGUUUACCUGAUUGUGCACCUGUGAGUUUUAUCUACCAAACAUUUUGUUACAAAGACUAAUUAAUUCUCAGGUGGCGGCGUGGCGUCAUCGGAGUUCUGCACAUCGUCAUGGUCUCUUUGCACUUAAAUAGAUAGUUGAAGUCAAAGGGAAAAUCAACACAUAUCUUGGAUGUCUUCCAUCACAAGUCUAUUUUGUCACUUCAAAUGGAGUACUCCCUCUAGUAACCUUUUCCAUUGCAGCUCAAGAAAUGUCCAUGUUUUUCGAUAUCUGGAGUGUCUGGGAUAAUGACAGCAAGGGACAUGUUGAGGGAAAUUGAGGAGCACAAUUAUUUUAAUCAUCUUAAGGAUGCGCAGCCUUGGUAGUUUCAUGAAAAGGAUCAUCUGUGGGAGCUGCCUCAGAAAUUUGUUAAAGUUCCAUCUGGCUCUGUGCGAAUAUAGGAGUCUUUUAACUUGUCUGGGACUGCCCAGAAAUAAGAUUUCAUGAAGGCAAGACUUAUUACAGGUCAUAAAACAGCUCUUGUUUCUACAAUAUUCCAUUUAAAUUAUUCUUUGCUAAAAUUUUUGGACAUUAGAUAUGAUUUUUCUUUAUUGAGAAACUUCACAAGAUCUUAUUUUGUAUGAAUAUGUAUCACUUGGGACUUAAUAAUUGAAGUACAGAAACAUUUCUUUUCGAACGUGGUUUCUAGCAUGCUUGUUAAUGAUUCUCGUUAAGAAUUUUUUUUUUUUUAAUUGAAUUGUUUGUGAUCCGAUUUUAUCAUCUACUUAAUUGAGUUCCUUACAAGCAAUAGAGCACAGAGAGUUUGUUCGCAUACGAACACCUGAAUGGGAAGCCUUGAGUGCUCACGUUGAAGCAAGAUUUACACUACUGACCAACAUGGAAACUCAGGUUUGAUCCUAAAACUGCAGUGUGGCAACACAAAGUAAUAAAAUUAAUGGUUUCUGGUGUUCUGUGAACUGUCUACCUUAUUGCCACUUGACUUGCCAUUUGGUAUCACGGUAUGCAUUAGAAAAUAUUUUUGUACCAUUAACUAUUGGAGGUAGUCUAAAGAGGAGCCAUGGUGUAAUAGAUAAAGUUGUUGUCAUGUGACCAAGAGGUCAUGGGUUCAAGCCUUGGAAAUAGUCCCUUGCAGAAAUAUAAGGUGAGGCUGCAUACUAUAAAUCCUUGUGAGGGCGCUUAGUACACCGGGCUGCCCUUUCUUUUAACCAUUGGGGGUGGUCUUAGAGACUUUAAUUAAUGACGAAACUGGAGAUUUAUGGAUAUCUGUUAUCCUGUCCAUACAUCAUUUAUCAUUUUGAUUGAAUCUUCUAAAAUUUAUUGCAUAAAACUGAGCUGAAAAUGGAAUAAUCUACUUAUUUUAAGUGUCCCAUGACCGCAGCAAAAGGAAAGUAGACUAAGAUAGAAAUUGAAAGGACAUUCCACUUCACACUUCAUCUCCAAUGAGUUUAUCUCCGCCUUUAUUGUCGGAACAACAUCAGGUAGAUCAACUCCAACAACUACACUAGCUUUGCAAGCUUCAAGAGAAGAGCAUUGCCCUCGUUAACAUCAGCUACUUCUUAGCUACCCAGGUGUUAAGGAAGCUAGCAGGUGGAGGUUGUCUUGCCAGCUUCUUAAGGGUUAUUUCCGUCAUUUUCGCUAGCUUUUGAAGGGCUAUUUCCGUCAUUUUCACAAGGCAACUUGAUUAUUUCAACUUUCUGGUAAAUUCAUCCGUUGGAGUGACUCCAUAAUUUAGAAAUUAAAUCAGCGGCAAGCGGGUACUAUAAUGGAUCAGAGGCUUCUCUUGGACGCCAUCACAAAAGAAACUACAGACUGGACCUGCGAAGUUCAGGUAGUUGACAAGUUCUAGCCUUGCAAGAGCAAAGACUCAUCUGUCCAUUUUCACAUAAUACUUGUGCAAGAUGAAAGUGAAUAACAGGUUUUCAUAGUACUAUACGGCGAUGACAUUCCCAAAUACGAGAAGUUGUUUCUCCUUUUCCACACAUAUCUUGUUUCUUAUGCGAAAGUUAGGGAUCCCCGUGGUUACAAAAUGCGAGCUGGUACGUACGAAUGGUUAGCUGACAGAUACACAAUUGUUGAGCCCAUUACCGACAAUGAUGGAUUGGAAGCACCGCUGCCUGCUCCAGAAAAGUUGAAUGCACUUCCUUUCUCAGCUAUUGAACAUCAACACCCAGGUGCUGAAUUUGGUAAGCUCCCUGUUUACAUCUUUGUCGUUUUUCGUAUUAAGAAUUUGAGGGUAUUGGAAGAGAAAUGGUUAUCAAAUGUUCAGUUUGAAAAGGCUUAUAAUAUCUUCCUUUUCUGGUCUAUCACCUGUUUUGCUUUCUGCUACAACAUUUGGUGUUUUUUAUUUGGUGUUCCGCUAUACGCAAGCAACGUCUUCACGUUUGUAGCAACUUUAUAUCUAUUGGUGUGGCGAUCCAAUCCAAAGUUGCCUUUGCAAGGAUCAUCAAGUUUCUUGACGCCCUGAAGCUGGAAGAUGCAAACGUUAGGCAGACCAUGCCAUACUUAUGAAGUCAGCUAAACUUUCAUGGGAAGAGCCUCUGAGAUAGCCUUGAGCCUAUUAUCUAAGUAUUUGGAGGUUAGACCUGGUGAGAGCAUUGUUAUAUGUGCGGAGGUUAGCUUACGAAAAUCAACUCUUCUGGCACCAAUUGUUGGAGAGGUUCCAAGUAUCGAAGGUUCAACUUUCUUGAACAGUUGCCUACGCCUGUCAGUCAGCAUGGAUUCAGACAGAGAUAAUACAAGAAAACAUUUUAUUUGGUUCUCCACUAGAUAGCCAGAGAUACAAGCAAAUUUUGGAGAAGUGUUCACUGUUAAAAGACCUUGAAUAGUUAUCAUGUGGUGAUAUCACUGAAAUAGGUGAAAGAAGAGUUAAUCUUCGUGGUGGUCAGAAGCAACACAUUCAGCUUAAGAAUGUUGAUAGUUGGAAACUUGUUUGUGUAGUGAAAGCACAUGGAAUGGCUGUUUUGUGUAUGUGUUUGACGAUGAAAGAAUUCUUCUUUAGUGGAUCAACCGAUAAGAGUAUUUGUAUAUGGAAAAGGGAAAUCAAUAAAAGGGAUAUGAAGGAGUGUUUACAAGGUGCACCAGGUAGUGUAGGGAGUGGGUUCAUCUUGCAUAGUGGAAGUCUUGAAGUUUGGUGGAUUCCGAAGUACUCUGGUGAGAUUAAGGAAUCUUUGAUUCAUGGUACACACAAAUAAGCUAAGUUGCAAGAUUCUUCACUUUUGAUGUUGUAUAUAUAUCAGAUUCUCUAAAUAUAUACUACUUUUGGAGAAUCUCAACAUAAAAGAACGUGAAAAUUUUCUCAAGUUUUUUUGUUAGUGAAGUACUGUUGCCCCAUUUGUUUUUUGGUUUUUACAGUGUGGACAGUGCUUGUAGUUGUUUUUAUGAGUUUAUACUGUGGAUUUUAAUAUUUUCA